CUCCCAGACAACCUCUGCCAAGCUAAGGACUUUGAUCUGAUGAGCUAAGCUGGAGUUCCCAUUCACCUGGCUCCAGGCUCAUCAGAUGAAAGUCCUUAGCUUAGGUGUGGCCUUUGUUGGAGU
rnacentral:precursor_RNA from 7 species